UUGGUUAAAGGCAGCCGCCUGCACUGUAGCAACAAGGGCCUGGCUGCCAGAUCGCGCUCGGGCCCCGGCUCCCCGACGCUGCGGAACACCGAAGCGGUGGCUCUGGGGUAGAUUCGAGGUCCCCGGUGGUGGGGAAUGCAAUGGCAGUUCCGGGAAAGGAGGUGACAGGACAAACGGAGUCUCCUGGGCGCAGAGUGGAGGGAGAGCAUGGCCGGGCACCGAAGAGAACCUAAACUUCCAAGUGCACAGCUAGGGUGGGCCUUAUCUGAUUGGAAGAAUCAGGAUCAAGAAGCCCAAGGAGGGAAACACGAAUGUUGAAGCAUCCUUCUUAGCCACUGGCAUGUUUCCAGCUUAGCUUCUGAAUGGGCAAUUGUGAGCUGUCAAAUACUUUUGAACAUCAUGACCACCAUGCCAGCAAGUUGCUGUGAUGGAAAAGCAGAGGAUGGAUUGAUUGAAGGAGGAAGGGUUGGAUGAGUGGGGCCAAUUAGGAGGCCAUGACAGAAGUUCAGGUACAGAGAAGAGAAGGGGUGAUUGGUUUGGGAAUGGGUCACACAAAUGAGUGGAAUAAUGCAAAGGAAGAGUCAAUAGAUCUUACUAAUUCAUUCGAUAAUUGAGGAUGGGGAAGAGAGGCAGGAAUACUAGGUUCAAGCUAGGAUUAAGUUACAGUGACCAGAAUUGUACCAAUUUAAUGGAUUGAGGAAGUCAAGAGAGGGAGAGAGUACUAAAGAGAAGUUUCAUUAUAGAUACCCUGAAAUGGAGAUGAUAGACAUCCAAGUAGAAAAGAGAAAGUACUCAGAGAAAUGUAUCAAGCUGCACAACUGUGAGGUAUUAUCGAAAAGAUUUUUUAAAACAACUCUCUUAGUUUUCACCUUCAUCUUUGGGAAUAAAGUAUUGAUCUCAACCUAACCAACUGAAAUGGGAAUGAUUAAGCUGAUCACAAUGUAUGAUACAAUCUUCAUAUAGUUGUAUAAAGAUUGUAACUCAAGAGCAAAUGUCAGGUUCACUUUAUAAUAACGGAGAAAGAAUUGGAGACAUAGAAGUCUUUUAAUAUUGUAUUCAAUUGAGAAUAACCCUAUGGAAAAUUGAAAAUAUAUCCAACAACUUCAAUACUGGUUUACAUUAAGCUGCUGGGUUCAAGCAUUUCAACAUGAUAUUAUUGCUAUGAAAUACGUUUAGAAAAAUCAAGAGUAAACAUUGUGUAAAAUGGCUUUGUACUAACAGUAUUGGUAUCAGAGCAAAUAAAACUUUGUUUCUGAAGUCAUUUAAUUUCCCAUCAUUCUGACCUAGAAUUUUUGAUUCCCAGAAAAAGGAACUUUGUUACUUACAGAGGAAACAUAAAUCUGUGUUUCCCCCUUUCUUUUUC